rnacentral:tRNA from 1 species
GCGGGAAUAGUUCAGUGGCAGUGAAAUAUUCUGCCAAUGGUUAGAACACCAAGCCUUGGCUGGAAGACACGAGUUCGAAUCUUGUUUCCCGCA